UUUUUAUCAAUAAAAGGAAAAAGAAAAGCCAAAAUGUUGAACCAUUAGACUUUUCUUUAUCCUACUUAUGUAACCAAAACCCUACAGUUUUUGUUCCCAUUGACCCUUUGGGGUGCUUUUUCUUAUCAUAGCCACUCCUCCUUCUUCAGAUGGGGUGGCUUCAAUCCCUGUUUUCUCCAUUGAAGAAACUCUGGUUUCGUCUCCACUCAGCUCAGAGAAAAAGGAGAGGGAUAUACAUUUUGUAUGAAGAUGUGAAAUCUUGCCCUUGUGAGGAUGUGCAUGUUUUAUGGUCAAUACUGGUGGAAUCAAAUGCACCUGCUAAAACAUUGAACUGAUCAAGAACCCUUUUUCUGGGUAUGAUUUUUUCUAAAGAAGCAGAUCUGUUGUACAUAAAUAUAUAUAUAUGAUAUAUCCGUUUUCGGGUGAGUGUAUUAUACGAGUAUGUAUCCUAUAUGAGAAAGUUUAAGUCUUUUUUUUUUUUAUACUUGUAUUCGAAUAUAUGUUGAAUGUAAAUAUUAAAAUUAAAAAAUAUAAGAAAUUUGAAUGACUCAGUAUAAUUAUUUAUGAUUAUUAAUGAGAAUUUUCUUUUGGGUGUUGCAUUGUCAA